GUCCACGCCCUAAACGAUGUCAACUGGGUGUUGGGGAAGCGAUUCCUCAGUACCGUAGCUAACGCGUGAAGUUGACCGCCUGGGGAGUACGGCCGCAAGGUUAAAACUCAAAGGAAUUGACGGGGACCCGCACAAGCGGUGGAUGAUGUGGAUUAAUUCGAUGCAACGCGAACAACCUUACCUACCCUUGACAUGUCCGGAACCCCACUGAGAGGUGGGGGUGCCCGAAAGGGAAUCGGAACACAGGUGCUGCAUGGCUGUCGU
rnacentral:rRNA from 1 species